CUGGCAAUGUAAAUGAUUAUGUACAUCAUGCAGAGAGCUCAGAUGAAGAACAGGAAAUUCUGUCUGACAAUAUAAAUGAUGUUUUGCACUAUGCAGAUAGCUCGGGUGAAGAAGAGAUUGGUGAAGCAGACAAUGAUAUUAAUUUUGAUGAAAACAGUAAUGAAUAUAAUGUCAACGAUAAUUUAUUUAACAAUCUUUUGUAUGAAGAAAAAAUUCUACCUGAUUCUGCAAUUACAGUUGGCGGUGCAAUCGCACUUAUAAUGGCCUUUGU